rnacentral:rRNA from 1 species
GACGAACGCUGGCGGCGUGCCUAAUACAUGCAAGUCGACCUUAGUUGCUAACGGGUGAGUAACACGUGGGUAACCUGCCCAUCAGAAGGGGAUAACACAUGGAAACAGGUGCUAAUACCGUAUAUGGCUGGAUGGACCCGCGGUGCAUUACCUAGUUGGUGAGGUAACGGCGCACCAAGGCCACGAUGCAUAGCGGACAGGAGAGGGGGAUCGGCCACAUUGGAAGUGAGAAACGGCCCAAACUCCUACGGGAGGCAGCAGUAGGGAAUAUUCGGCAAGGGACGAAAGUCUGACCGAGCAACGCCGCGGGAGUGAAGAAGGUUUUCGGAUCGUAAAACACUGUUGUUAGAGAAGCGGUAUCUAACCAGAAAGCCACGGCUAACUACGUGCCAGCAGCCGCGGUAAUUC